rnacentral:rRNA from 1 species
UACGGGGGGGGCAAGCGUUGUUCGGAAUUACUGGGCGUAAAGGGCUCGUAGGUGGCCAACUAAGUCAGACGUGAAAUCCUCAGGCUCAACUUGGGAACUGCGUCUGAUACUGGAUGGCUUGAAUUCGGGAGAGGGAUGCAGAAUUCCAGGUGUAGCGGUGAAAUGCGUAGAUAUCUGGAGGAAUACCGGUGGCGAAGGCGGCAUCCUGGACCGAGAUUGACACUGAUGAGCGAAAGCUAGGGGAGCAAACGGG